CAGGCCCUACGGGGCGCAGCAGGCGCGAAACCUUUACACUGCACGCAAGUGCGAUAAGGGGACCCCAAGUGCGAGGGCAUAUAGUCCUCGCUUUUCACGACUGUAAGGCGGUCGUGGAAUAAGAGCUGGGCAAGACCGGUGCCAGCCGCCGCGGUAAUACCGGCAGCUCAAGUGAUGACCGAUAUUAUUGGGCCUAAAGCGUCCGUAGCCGGCCACGAAGGUUCAUCGGGAAAUCCGCCAGCUCAACUGGCGGGCGUCCGGUGAAAACCACGUGGCUUGGGACCGGAAGGCUCGAGGGGUACGUCCGGGGUAGGAGUGAAAUCCCGUAAUCCUGGACGGACCACCGAUGGCGAAAGCACCUCGAGAAGACGGAUCCGACGGUGAGGGACGAAAGCUAGGGUCUCGAACCGGAUUAGAUACCCGGGUAGUCCUAGCUGUAAACGAUGCUCGCUAGGUGUGACACAGGCUACGAGCCUGUGUUGUGCCGUAGGGAAGCCGAGAAGCGAGCCGCCUGGGAAGUACGUCCGCAAGGAUGAAACUUAAAGGAAUUGGCGGGGGAGCACU
rnacentral:rRNA from 1 species